rnacentral:lncRNA from 1 species
GUUUUUUGAUGCUUCAUAUUUUUCCUUCUUUUUUUUUUUUUUGUUUGAUUGUAAUAUUCCAAAUCUUUCAAUGCCUAUUUUUAGUUCUUUGAACUUAACCAUUUUAAAUUGUUUAGGUAGAAAUUAGUUUUCUUUUGAAACUUUUGAUGGAAACAGUGGGAAUAAGUCAGCUGAAUUGAAAUUCAUUUUUAGACUGGAAAGACUACCUGCCUGAAAUUUUUUCAAAUUUCAUAUGAAAUAAUGGAAUCUCAGGGAAUGUGUGAUCUGCCCAAGAUUUUACAGCUAGUAACUGGCAAAACAAAGGACAGAAUUCUUGAAGGUUUCAAAACCUUGACUGCUAGUCAAGGGCUUUUGCCUCUAUGAAGUCUUCCUUUGGCUCCAUUUUAAUGUCCAUAACACAAUAUAUGUUAAAAUUUAUUUUUAUCUAAUUUAACUUUGUUUUUUGUUUAAUAAGUGGAGGAUAAGUAAGUAACCUAAGAUUAGGCUAGUGCAGCUGUGGCCCCUGUUGCCUCUUUGGUAAAUGAGGUUUUAUUGGAACACAGCCACGCCUCUUCAUUUACAUUUGUCUCUAGAUACUUUCACAUUAAAACUGCAGGAUUGAGUAGUUGCUGACAGAGAUCUUAUGGCCCAUGAAGCUUGAAUGUUUUACCAUAUGGCCCUUUACAGAAAAAAGCUUGACAACACUCAGCCUUUUCUAAUCUAAAUAUAUUCGCAAUAGGGGAGACAUUUUCUAUUUAAAACCAACAUGGGCUAGGUAAAAUGGUGUACACCUGUAAUCCCAGAAAUUUGGGAUUAUAAAUUCAAGGUCAACCUGAGUAGCAAGACCCUGUCUCAAAAAAAGAUCAGGGCUAAGGAUGUGGUUUAGUGGUAAAAUGCUCCUGGUUUCAAUCCCCGGUACUGAGGAAAAAUAAAAUUAAUGUAAACACAGUUCUUCGAGGUAUAGCUUAUUUUGCAUGUCAGAA